rnacentral:rRNA from 1 species
CAGGCUGCAACUCGCCUGCAUGAAGUCGGAAUUGCUAGUAAUCGUAGGUCAGCAUACUACGGUGAAUACGUUCCCGGGCCUUGUACACACCGCCCGUCAAACCAUGAGAGUUGGCAACACCCGAAGUCGGUAGUCUAACCGCAAGGAGGACGCCGCCGAAGGUGGGGUUGAUGACUGGGGUGAAGUCGUAACAAGGUAAC